GGUUUUCUGGUGGCCCAUUGGAUUAAGCGCGCUUGCCUACGGAGCAAGAGAUUCCAGGUUCGAUCCCUGGCAGAAUCG
rnacentral:tRNA from 1 species